rnacentral:tRNA from 1 species
GCUCAGUAGGUAGAGCACUUCCUUGGUAAGGAAGAGGUCACCGGUUCAAAUCCGGUUAUGGGCU